rfam:Schistosoma haematobium scaffold2331_3, whole genome shotgun sequence.
AUCUAGCUGACGAGUCCUGAAUAGGACGAAACAUGCGUGAAACUGGAU